rnacentral:rRNA from 1 species
UACGAAGGGGGCUAGCGUUGCUCGGAAUCACUGGGCGUAAAGGGUGCGUAGGCGGGUCUUUAAGUCAGGGGUGAAAUCCAUGGAGCUCAACUCCAGAACGUGCCUUUGAUACUGAGGAUCUUGAGUUCGGGAGAGGUGGAGUGGAACUGCGAGUGUAGAGGUGAAAUUCGUAGAUAUUCGCAAGAACACCGGUGGCGAAGGCGGCUACACGUGGCCCGAAACUGACGCUCAUGCACGACAGCGUGGGGAUCAAACAGG